AAAUGAUGAGCCCAAUUAGAUGACGAGUCUGAAGAGUCGUUCAAUGUCGAGAAAACUUUUUUAAUACCAUUCAUGCCUUUCUGAAA
rnacentral:snoRNA from 1 species